rnacentral:rRNA from 1 species
AUGUCUAUGGCGAUUUCUGCUCAAUGUAUUAUAAAUAGCCGCAGUACCCUGACUGUGCUAAGGUAGCAUAAUCAAUAGGCUUAUAAUUCAAGUCUGGUAUGAAGGAAGUUUUGGGGGGUAACUGUCUCUUUGAGAAUUUUUGAAAUUUUUAAAAAAGUGCAAAAACUUUUAUAUAAUUAUUAGACGAGAAGACCCUAGAAAUUUUUUAAGGUAUUUUGUUGGGGCGACAAAGUAACAAUUAUUAACUUACUUUUAUAUUAUUGGAAGUGUGCUACACAGAUUAUAUAAAUUACUCUAGGGAUAACAGCAUAAUUAUGAAAUAGUUUGUGACCUCGAUGUUGGACUAGGUAGCAUUAAGUUUAGAAGAUUUAAGCGAUGGCUCUGUUCGAGCAAUUUAUACCUACCUGAUCUGGAUUCAGACCGG